UCGGGAAUAUUGGACAAUGGGCGAAAGCCUGAUCCAGCAAUGCCGCGUGAGUGAUGAAGGCCUUCGGGUUGUAAAGCUCUGUCGGGAGGGACGAAUAGGGUGGUGUAAUGGCCACUUCUGACGGUACCUCCAAAGGAAGCACCGGCUAACUCUGUGCCAGCAGCCGCGGUAAUACAGAGGGUGCAAGCGUUGUUCGGAAUUACUGGGCGUAAAGCGCGUGUAGGCGGCGUCGUGAGUCAUAUGUGAAAGCCCUCGGCUCAACCGAGGAAGUGCAUGUGAUACUGCGAUGCUUGAGUGUUGGAGGGGGUGGCGGAAUUCCCGGUGUAGAGGUGAAAUUCGUAGAUAUCGGGAGGAACACCAGUGGCGAAGGCGGCUCACUGGACGUGUAUUGACGCUGAGGUACGAAAGCGUGGGGAGCAAACAGGAUUAGAUACCCCCGUAGUCCCUGAGCGGGCUGGCAAGGCGCAU
rnacentral:rRNA from 1 species